CAGCACCUCAAGUGGUCAGGAUGAUUAUUGGGCCUAAAGCAUCCGUAGCCGGCUCUGUAAGUUUUCGGUUAAAUCUGUAUGCUCAACAUACAGGCUGCCGGGAAUACUGCAGAGCUAGGGAGUGGGAGAGGUAGACGGUACUCGGUAGGAAGGGGUAAAAUCCUUUGAUCUAUUGAUGACCACCUGUGGCGAAGGCGGUCUACCAGAGCACGUCCGACGGUGAGGGAUGAAAGCUGGGGGAGCAAACCGGAUUAGAGACCCGAGUAGUCC
rnacentral:rRNA from 1 species